ACGGAGGGUGCAAGCGUUAUCCGGAUUCACUGGGUUUAAAGGGAGCGUAGGUGGGCAGGUAAGUCAGUGGUGAAAUCUCCGGGCUUAACCCGGAAACUGCCAUUGAUACUAUUUGUCUUGAAUAUCCUGGAGGUAAGCGGAGUAUGUCAUGUAGCGGUGAAGUGCUUAGAUAUGACAUAGAACACCAAUUGCGAAGGCAGCUUACUACGGGAUUAUUGACACUGAGGCUCGAAAGCGUGGGGAUCAAACAGGAUUAGAUACCCUGGUAGUCCACGCCCUAAACGAUGGAUACUCGACAUUUGCGAUAUACUGUAAGUGUCUGAGAGAAAGAAUUAAGUAUCCCACCUGGGAAGUACGAUCGCAAGAUUG
rnacentral:rRNA from 1 species